rnacentral:miRNA from 1 species
UGUGUGUGUGUGUGUGUGUGUGUGUGCACGUGCACGUGCACGCGUGCAUGCACACACC